rnacentral:sRNA from 1 species
GCAUCAGACCCUGACGAAGCCAAGUUGGCAGAAGACAUCCUGAACACCAUGUUUGACACCUCCUACAGCAAGCAGGUCAGGGGGCGGGUGGGCAGGUGGGCACACACAGGGGAGCCAGGGCAGGCAGGGGCCCUGGGCUGGACUGGCCUUUCCCGCAGGUUAUCAACGAAGGCGAGGAGCCUGAGAACUUCUUCUGGGUGGGCAUUGGGGCACAGAAGCCCUAUGAUGACGAUGCCGAGUACAUGAAACACACACGGCUCUUCCGGUGAGGCCAGAGCCCUGACCCUCCCCUCAGUCCUGGCACUGCUACUUAUGACCUCUGGCCUCACCUUGACCCUUGAUUCCCAGGUGCUCCAAUGAGAAGGGCUACUUUGCAGUGACUGAGAAAUGCUCUGACUUUUGCCAAGAUGACCUGGCAGAUGAUGACAUCAUGUUGCUAGACAACGGCCAAGAGGUGUGAUGUUGCCACUAGCCCUGCCCAUCCGAGGAGGCGCCCAUAGUCUUGUAAAUGGAAAUUCUCGGGCCAGGAGCAAGGGGCUGUUCCCAGGCACCCAUGCAAUGAUAUCUCCCCUGCUUCCCCCACAGGUCUACAUGUGGGUGGGGACCCAGACUAGCCAGGUGGAGAUCAAGCUGAGCCUGAAGGCCUGCCAGGUAUAUAUCCAGCACAUACGGUCCAAGGAACAUGAGCGGCCACG